rnacentral:rRNA from 1 species
UGAAUACAUAGCAUAUCAGAAGGCACACCCGGAGAACUGAAACAUCUUAGUACCCGGAGGAAGAGAAAGAAAAUUCGAUUCCCUUAGUAGCGGCGAGCGAAACGGGAAGAGCCCAAACCAACAAGCUUGCUUGUUGGGGUUGUAGGACACUCUAUACGGAGUUACAAAGGACGACAUUAGACGAAUCAUCUGGAAAGAUGAAUCAAAGAAGGUAAUAAUCCUGUAGUCGAAAAUGUUGUCUCUCUUGAGUGGAUCCUGAGUACGACGGAGCACGUGAAAUUCCGUCGGAAUCUGGGAGGACCAUCUCCUAAGGCUAAAUACUCUCUAGUGACCGAUAGUGAACCAGUACCGUGAGGGAAAGGUGAAAAGCACCCCGGAAGGGGAGUGAAAUAGAACCUGAAACCGUGUGCUUACAAGUAGUCAGAGCCCGUUAAUGGGUGAUGGCGUGCCUUUUGUAGAAUGAACCGGCGAGUUACGAUUUGAUGCAAGGUUAAGCAGUAAAUGUGGAGCCGUAGCGAAAGCGAGUCUGAAUAGGGCGUUUAGUA